GAUGAAGAACGUAGCGAAAUGCGAUAAGUAAUGUGAAUUGCAGAAUUCAGUGAAUCAUCGAAUCUUUGAACGCACCUUGCGCCCUUUGGCUAUUCCGAAGGGCAUGCCUGUUUGAGUAUCAUGAACACCUCAACUCUCAUGGUUUGCCAUGAUGAGCUUGGACUUUGGGGGUCUUGCCGGCCUAUGGGUCGGCUCCUCUCAAAUUAAUCAGCUUGCCAGUGUUUGGUGGCAUCACAGGUGUUAUAACUAUCUACGCUUGUGGUUUUCCAUCAGGUAACCUUCAGUGAUGGAGGUUCGCUGGGGCUCAUAAAUGUCUCUCCUCAGUGAGGACAGCUUUUUUGAACGUUUGAUCUCAAAUCAGGUAGGACUACCCGCUGAACUUAAGCAUAUCAAUAAGCGGAGGA
rnacentral:misc_RNA from 1 species